rnacentral:rRNA from 1 species
UACGAAGGGUGCAAGCGUUAUUCGGAAUCAUUGGGCGUAAAGCGCGCGCAGGCGGAUUAAUAAGUCAGGUGUGAAAUCUCGAGGCUCAACCUCGAAACUGCGCCUGAAACUAUUAGUCUAGAAUGUCGGAGGGGGCAGGGGAAUUUCACGUGUAGGGGUAAAAUCCGUAGAGAUGUGAAGGAACACCGGAGGCGAAGGCGCCUGCCUGACGACUAUUGACGCUGAGGCGCGAAAGCGUGGGGAGCAAACAGG